rnacentral:rRNA from 1 species
GACGAGCGCUGGCGGCGUGCUUAACACAUGCAAGUCGAACGGAAAGGCCCUGCUUUUGUGGGGUGCUCGAGUGGCGAACGGGUGAGUAACACGUGAGUAACCUGCCCUUGACUUUGGGAUAACUUCAGGAAACUGGGGCUAAUACCGGAUAGGAGCUCCUGCUGCAUGGUGGGGGUUGGAAAGUUUCGGCGGUUGGGGAUGGACUCGCGGCUUAUCAGCUUGUUGGUGGGGUAGUGGCUUACCAAGGCUUUGACGGGUAGCCGGCCUGAGAGGGUGACCGGCCACAUUGGGACUGAGAUACGGCCCAGACUCCUACGGGAGGCAGCAGUGGGGAAUAUUGCACAAUGGGCGGAAGUCUGAUGCAGCAACGCCGCGUGCGGGAUGACGGCCUUCGGGUUGUAAACCGCUUUCGCCUGUGACGAAGCGUGAGUGACGGUAAUGGGUAAAGAAGCACCGGCUAACUACGUG